rnacentral:rRNA from 1 species
AUUGAACGCUGGCGGCAGGCCUAACACAUGCAAGUCGAGCGGAUGAAGGGAGCUUGCUCCUGGCUUCAGCGGCGGACGGGUGAGUAAUUCCUAGGAAUCUGCCUGGUAUUGGGGGCUAACGUCCGGACACGGGCGCUAAUACCGCAUACGUCCUGAGGUAGAAAGUGGGGGUUCUUCGGACCUCACGCUAUCUGCUGAGCCUAGUUCGGAUUAGCUAGUUGGUGUGGUAAAGGCUUACCAAGGCGACGAUCCGUAACUGGUCUGAGAGGAUGAUCUGUCACACUGGAACUGAGACACGGUCCAGACUCCUACGGGAGGCAGCAGUGGGGAAUAUUGGGCAAUGGGCGAAAGCCUGAUCGAGCAAUGCCGCGUGAGUGAAGAAGGUCUUCGGAUUGUAAAGCACUGUAAGUAGGGAGGAAGGGAAGUAAGUGAAAACCUGGCUGUUUUGACGUUACCAACAGAAUAAGCACCGGCUAACUUCGUG